GAUGAACGCUGGCGGCGUGCCUAAUACAUGCAAGUCGAGCGAACGGACGAGAAGCUUGCUUCUCUGAUGUUAGCGGCGGACGGGUGAGUAACACGUGGAUAACCUACCUAUAAGACUGGGAUAACUUCGGGAAACCGGAGCUAAUACCGGAUAAUAUUUUGAACCGCAUGGUUCAAAAGUGAAAGACGGUCUUGCUGUCACUUAUAGAUGGAUCCGCGCUGCAUUAGCUAGUUGGUAAGGUAACGGCUUACCAAGGCAACGAUGCAUAGCCGACCUGAGAGGGUGAUCGGCCACACUGGAACUGAGACACGGUCCAGACUCCUACGGGAGGCAGCAGUAGGGAAUCUUCCGCAAUGGGCGAAAGCCUGACGGAGCAACGCCGCGUGAGUGAUGAAGGUCUUCGGAUCGUAAAACUCUGUUAUUAGGGAAGAACAUAUGUGUAAGUAACUGUGCACAUCUUGACGGUACCUAAUCAGAAAGCCACGGCUAACUACGUGCCAGCAGCCGCGGUAAUACGUAGGUGGCAAGCGUUAUCCGGAAUUAUUGGGCGUAAAGCGCGCGUAGGCGGUUUUUUAAGUCUGAUGUGAAAGCCCUCGGCUCAACCGUGGAGGGUCAUUGGAAACUGGAAAACUUGAGUGCAGAAGAGGAAAGUGGAAUUCCAUGUGUAGCGGUGAAAUGCGCAGAGAUAUGGAGGAACACCAGUGGCGAAGGCGACUCUCUGGUCUGUAACUGACGCUGAUGUGCGAAAGCGUGGGGAUCAAACAGGAUUAGAUACCCUGGUAGUCCACGCCGUAAACGAUGAGUGCUAAGUGUUAGGGGGUUUCCGCCCCUUAGUGCUGCAGCUAACGCAUUAAGCACUCCGCCUGGGGAGUACGACCGCAAGGUUGAAACUCAAAGGAAUUGACGGGGACCCGCACAAGCGGUGGAGCAUGUGGUUUAAUUCGAAGCAACGCGAAGAACCUUACCAAAUCUUGACAUCCUUUGACAACUCUAGAGAUAGAGCCUUCCCCUUCGGGGGACAAAGUGACAGGUGGUGCAUGGUUGUCGUCAGCUCGUGUCGUGAGAUGUUGGGUUAAGUCCCGCAACGAGCGCAACCCUUAAGCUUAGUUGCCAUCAUUAAGUUGGGCACUCUAAGUUGACUGCCGGUGACAAACCGGAGGAAGGUGGGGAUGACGUCAAAUCAUCAUGCCCCUUAUGAUUUGGGCUACACACGUGCUACAAUGGACAAUACAAAGGGCAGCGAAACCGCGAGGUCAAGCAAAUCCCAUAAAGUUGUUCUCAGUUCGGAUUGUAGUCUGCAACUCGACUACAUGAAGCUGGAAUCGCUAGUAAUCGUAGAUCAGCAUGCUACGGUGAAUACGUUCCCGGGUCU
rnacentral:rRNA from 1 species